UACGUAGGGGGCGAGCGUUGUCCGGAAUUACUGGGCGUAAAGCGUGCGCAGGCGGCCCGUUAAGACAGGUGUGAAAUCCCUGGGCUCAACCUAGGAAUUGCGCUUGUGACUGGCGGGCUCGAGUACGGUAGAGGGGGGUGGAAUUCCUGGUGUAGCAGUGAAAUGCGUAGAGAUCAGGAGGAACACCGAUGGCGAAGGCAGCCCCCUGGGCCUGUACUGACGCUCAUGCACGAAAGCGUGGGGAGCAAACAGG
rnacentral:rRNA from 1 species